rnacentral:rRNA from 1 species
GACGAACGCUGGCGGCGUGGAUUAGGCAUGCAAGUCGAACGGUAUGGACCUUUCGGGGUUCAGAGAGUGGCGAACGGGUGAGUAACACGUAGGUAAUCUACCCUCAAGACGGGGACAACCCAGGGAAACUUGGGCUAAUACCGGAUGUGUGUAGUGGCUAUUUUUCUGAUUAUCAUUAUUUACGUAAGUGGGUAAUAAUAAGAAGGGAAAGUGGUUAUUACAUAAAAGGUGGCGUAAGCUGCCGUCGUUGGGGAUGAGCCUGCGUCCUAUUAGUUAGUUGGUGAGGUAACGGCUUACCAAGGCGAUGAUAGGUAGGCGGCCUUAACGGGUGGUCGCCCACACUGGGAUUGAGAUACGGCCCAGACUCCUACGGGAGGCAGCAGUCGAGAAUAGUCUACAAUGGACGGAAGUCUGAUAGUGCGACGCCGCGUGAACGAAGAAUCCCUUCGGGGUGUAAAGUUCUUUUAUACGUGAGCAGUGUCCUUUAUAUUAAUAGUAUAAGGGGAGAGAUAUUAGCGUAUGAAUAAGCAACGGCUAAC